rnacentral:rRNA from 1 species
AGAGUUUGAUCAUGGCUCAGGAUGAACGCUGGCGGCAUGCCUAAGACAUGCAAGUCGAACGAAGGAACCCAAAGAAGAUGGAGUGCUUGCACGAAAUUGGAAAUGGACACUUCCUUAGUGGCAAACGGGUGAGUAACACGUGGGUAACCUACCUUUAAGAUGGGGAUAACAGUUGGAAACGAUUGCUAAUACCGAAUGUGAUCUACGGAUUAAAGGGGGCAGAAAAGCCUCGCUUAAAGAUGGGCCUGCGGCGUAUUAGAUAGUUGGUAAGGUAAUGGCUUACCAAGUCGACGAUACGUAGCCGAGCUGAGAGGUAAAACGGCCACACUGGGACUGAGACACGGCCCAGACUCCUACGGGAGACAGCAGUUAGGAAUAUUCGUCAAUGGGGGGAACCCUGAACGAGCAAUGCCGCGUGAGUGAAGAAGGUCCUCUGGAUUGUAAAACUCUGUUGUAUGGAAAGAAUAGUUAAAUUAGGAAAUGAAUUUAAAAGAGACGGUACCAUACGAGGAAGCCACGGCUAACUACGUGCCAGCAGCCGCGGUAAAACGUAGGUGGCGAGCGUUAUCCGGAUUUAUUGGGCGUAAAGCGUCCGCAGCCGGCAUUUUAAGUCUGUAAUAAAAGCCUGGAGCUCAACUCCAGUUCGUUACAGAAACUGAAAGGCUAGAGUGUGGUAGAGGCAAGUGGAAUUUCUAGUGUAGCGGUAGAAUGCGUAGAUAUUAGAAGGAACAUCUAGUGGCGAAGGCGACUUGCUGGGUCAAAACUGACGGUCGGGGACGAAAGCGUGGGGAGCAAAUAGG